UAGGACCUACGGGGCGCAGCAGUGAGGAAUAUUGGUCAAUGGACGCGAGCCUGAACCAGCCAAGUCGCGUGAGGGAAGACGGUCCUAUGGAUUGUAAACCUCUUUUGUCGGGGAGCAAAAGACGCCACGCGUGGCGUUCCGAGAGUACCCGAAGAAAAAGCAUCGGCUAACUCCGUGCCAGCAGCCGCGGUAAUACGGAGGAUGCGAGCGUUAUCCGGAUUUAUUGGGUUUAAAGGGCGCGCAGGCGGAAGAUCAGGUUAGCGGUAAAAUUGAGAGGCUCAACCUCUUCGAGCCGUUGAAACUGG
rnacentral:rRNA from 1 species